CGCGUAGGCGGACGACCAAGUCGGGGGUGAAAUCUUUCAGCUCAACUGGAAAACAGCUUCCGAUACUGGUCGCCUGGAGGGAGGUAGGGGUGCGUGGAACUCAGGGUGGAGCGGUGAAAUGCGUAGAUAUCCCGAGGAACGCCGGUGGCGAAAGCGACGCACUGGACCUUUCCUGACGCUGAGGCGCGAAAGCCAGGGGAGCAAACGGGAUUAGAUACCCCGGUAGUCCUGGCCCUAAACGAUGGGUACUAGGUAGUGGACUUGACAUGGGUUCACUGCCGAAGCAAAAGUGAUAAGUACCCCGCCUGGGGAGUAUGGUCGCAAGGCUGAA
rnacentral:rRNA from 1 species